UACAGAGGGGGCAAGCGUUGUUCGGAAUUACUGGGCGUAAAGGGCGCGUAGGCGGCCCGCUAAGUCGAACGUGAAAGUCCCCGAGCUCAACUCGGGAACUGCGUCCGAUACUGGCGGGCUUGAAUCCGGGAGAGGGAUGCGGAAUUCCAGGUGUAGCGGUGAAAUGCGUAGAUAUCUGGAGGAACACCGGUGGCGAAGGCGGCAUCCUGGACCGGCAUUGACGCUGAGGCGCGAAAGCUAGGGGAGCAAACGGG
rnacentral:rRNA from 1 species